rnacentral:rRNA from 1 species
UAUGGAAAUACCGGUACAAACGGAAGAGGUGUCAGGCUGGCAAAUCCGCCUGGCAAGCCAAAGACGUGAUGUGGAGCGAAAUAAAAGUAGCGAAGUAUGUGAGCCAUGUGCCGAGAAAAGCCGCUAUUGUUUUAUAUGUGCCCGUACCGUAAACCGACACAGGUGGAUGAGGAGAGAAUCCUAAGGCCGACGGAAGAAGCAUUGUUAAGGAACUCGGCAAAAUGACCCCGUAACUUCGGGAGAAGGGGUGCCCACUUCAGGGUGGGCCGCAGAGAAUAGGCUCAAGCAACUGUUUAGCAAAAACACAGGUCUAUGCGAAACCGUAAGGUGAAGUAUAUGGGCUGACGCCUGCCCGGUGCUGGAAGGUUAAGAGGAGAGGUUAGUCGCAAGAUGAAGCUUUGAAUUUAAGCCCCAGUAAACGGCGGCCGUAACGAUAACGGUCCUAAGGUAGCGAAAUUCCUUGUCGGGUAAGUUCCGACCCGCACGAAAGGCGUAAUGAUUUGAGCACUGUCUCGACAAUGCAUCCGGUGAAAUUGAAGUACCAGUGAAGAUGCUGGUUACCCGCGCCAGGACGGAAAGACCCCAUGGAGCUUUACUCCAGUUUGGUACUGGGAUUCGGUACUGCAUGUACAGGAUAGGUGGGAGACUGAGAAAUUGGAACGCCAGUUUCAAUGGAGUCACUGUUGGGAUACCACCCCUGCAGUAUUGGGUUUCUAACCAGCCGCUGUGAUCCAGCGGUGGGACAAUGCCAGGCGGGGAGUUUGACUGGGGCGGUCGCCUCCGAAAGGGUAUCGGAGGCGCUCAAAGGUUCCCUCAGAAUGGUCGGAAACCAUUUUAAGAGUGCAAAGGCAGAAGGGAGCUUGACUGCGACACCGACGGGUGGAGCAGGUACGAAAGUAGGACUUAGUGAUCCGGUGGCAUAAAGUGGGAUUGCCAUCGCUCAACGGAUAAAAGCUACCCUGGGAUAACAGGCUUAUCACUCCCAAGAGUUCACAUCGACGGAGUGGUUUGGCACCUCGAUGUCGGCUCAUCGCAUCCUGGGGCUGUAGCAGGUCCCAAGGGUUGGGCUGUUCGCCCAUUAAAGCGGUACGCGAGCUGGGUUCAGAACGUCGUGAGACAGUUCGGUCCCUAUCCGGCGCGGGCGGAGGAUAUUUGAGAGGAGCUGUCCUUAGUACGAGAGGACCGGGAUGGACGGACCACUGGUGUAUCUGCUGUCGACCAACGGCAUGGCAGAGUAGCCAAGUCCGGAAGGGAUAAACGCUGAAGGCAUCUAAGCGUGAAGCCCCCCUCAAGAUGAGAUAUCCCUCACAUAAGUGAGUAAGAUCCCUUGAAGAGUACAAGGUAGAUAGGGCAGAGGUGGAAGCACGGUAACGUGUGGAGCUGACUGUUACUAAUCGAUCGAGGGCUUGAUC